rnacentral:misc_RNA from 1 species
UGGAUGGCGUGGGUCGGCAGGCUCCGUGCUCGUGCAUCGAACUGUCGGCGCCCCGUCCGCUUCAGUCUUGCCCCGAGCGCAGCUCCUGGCUCGCGGGUGCUUGAGGUAUCCUGUGUUGCUUACCCCGCAGAGGAAUUCGUUGGCUUUGGUGUCCCCAUCCGUCUUGCGCCCCUUCGGGGUGCGGGGCGGACUCGGGGUGGGCUCCGUGUUCCCCGUGUGUCGAGCGCGUUGACGCUCGGCCGCUGUGGCCCAUGGGGUCUCGCCCGUGCUCUCGGAUGCGGAAUGCUGUGUGUGGGCGUGGGGUCUCGGCCCCUGGUCGCCCGAGCUGCACGCAUUGUCCCUUGACAUGAACGACCGUCGCGCCCGUCUUGGUCGGCCGACCGUGCCCCCGUCGCGGGGCUGCGGGAGGGCGGCUCAUGCGGGCGUCGGCGUCGGAGAGGAAKGS